AAUGAUCUAGAUGGUCGCCAUGCCCGGGCUGGAAAAGAGGGACACGUGGUGGGAGUCCUCACAAAACAUGUGUUUAUGAACAUUGAAUUUUCAACAUCAUUACAGCUUGAGAACCUAAGUGAUAGGCUUUUUCCCGCUUUCGGAUCGAACCUGGAAUGGAAGAACCCAAUCACAAAUCAUGGAUUGCCAAAGAUUCUCCGAUACUACUAGACUAAUCUUAUCUUCUUUGUGACUCAAUGUUGGAGACCUG
rnacentral:lncRNA from 1 species